UUAUUAUAGCCCGGACAUCCGUUAUUCUCGAAUUCGAAGGCAUUAAGGUUCUUAUCAGUUUUUUUAUCUGAAAUUCGAACCAAACGGGGUUGAUUCGACGGCUAAAGGUUGUGGAUUUGGGAUGAGGGAUGUAAGGAGAUCAUGCGGUGUUAAUUUGGCAGAGUUUGGAAGAGGUGGUGUUUUGGUCGGAUUUUCAAAUCAAUAUUUGACAAUUUCUGUAGAGAUUUGAGGGGCGGGGCUUGGGGAUCUAGAGAGAGGAGGGUGAGAGGAUAUGGUGGUCUAAAUUUGGGGUUAUUUGGAGACCGUCGCCGUCGUGGAUGGCGGACCAGUCAUCCUUUUGAUCAAGGAUUCGAGACGAAGGGUUAGGAUUUGAAGGUUGGUAUCUUGGGCAUUGGAAAGAGGAGGAGGAGGGGAUCAAUUGGUGUUAAUUUGGAGUUAAUCGGAGACCGACCGUCGUCGGCGAACGGUGGAACAGUCGUCCCUUUGGUCGAAGAUUCGAGAUGAAGGGUUUGUAUUUGAGGGAUGGGACUUCGAUCAUUGGAAAGAGGAGGCGAAGGGGAUCAAUUGGUGUAUUUUUGGGGUUGAUCGGAGACCAGCCGCCGCCGGAAGCGAUUUCCGGCCGGCGAAGGGACAAUGGCUUUAGGGUGGUGUUACACCAGUAUAAUUUUUGGGUUGAAAGAGACAUGGUAUGAGGUUUCGG
rnacentral:lncRNA from 1 species